UACGUAGGUGGCAAGCGUUGUCCGGAAUUAUUGGGCGUAAAGCGCGCGCAGGCGGAUCAGUCAGUCUGUCUUAAAAGUUCGGGGCUUAACCCCGUGAUGGGAUGGAAACUGCUGAUCUAGAGUAUCGGAGAGGAAAGUGGAAUUCCUAGUGUAGCGGUGAAAUGCGUAGAUAUUAGGAAGAACACCAGUGGCGAAGGCGACUUUCUGGACGAAAACUGACGCUGAGGCGCGAAAGCCAGGGGAGCGAACGGGAUUAGAUACCC
rnacentral:rRNA from 1 species